UACGUAGGGGGCAAGCGUUGUCCGGAAUCAUUGGGCGUAAAGAGCGUGUAGGCGGCCCGGUAAGUCCGCUGUGAAAGUCCAGGGCUCAACCCUGGGAUGCCGGUGGAUACUGUCGGGCUCGAGUCCGGAAGAGGAGUGUGGAAUUCCUGGUGUAGCGGUGAAAUGCGCAGAUAUCAGGAGGAACACCAAUGGCGAAGGCAGCACUCUGGGACGUGACUGACGCUGAGACGCGAAAGCGU
rnacentral:rRNA from 1 species